rnacentral:rRNA from 1 species
UUGGGUUAAAAUUGUUGUAAAAGCAGAUUUGUUUAUAUAUUUAAUUUUUAUAAUUAAUAAGAUUUAAUAUUAGUACGCAAGGAUCUAUUAU